GACGAACGCUGGCGGCGUGCCUAAUACAUGCAAGUUGAGCGAUUAAGAUUGGUGCUUGCACCAAUUUGAAGAGCAGCGAACGGGUGAGUAACGCGUGGGGAAUCUGCCUUUGAGCGUGGGACAACAUUUGGAAACGAAUGCUAAUACCGCAUAACAACUUUAAACAUAAGUUUUAAGUUUGAAGGAUGCAAUUGCAUCACUCAAAGAUGAUCCCGCGUUGUAUUAGCUAGUUGGUGAGGUAAAGGCUCACCAAGGCGAUGAUACAUAGCCGACCUGAGAGGGUGAUCGGCCAAAAUGGGACUGAGAAAAGGCCCAAAAUCCUACGGGAGGCAGCAGGAGGGAAACGUCGGCAAAGGAGGAAAGUCUGAACGAGGAAAGCCGCGGGAGGGAAGAAGGGUUUCGGAUCGUAAAACUCGGUUGGUAGAGAAGAACGUUGGUGAGAGUGGAAAGCUCAUCAAGUGACGGUAACUACACAGAAAGGGACGGCUAACUACGUG
rnacentral:rRNA from 1 species